rnacentral:rRNA from 1 species
UAGGGAAUUUUCCGCAAUGGGGGAAACCCUGACGGAGCAACGCCGCGUGAGGGAAGAAGGUCUUCGGAUCGUAAACCUUUGUCAUCGAGGACGAAAACUGACGGUACUCGAGGAGGAAGCCCCGGCUAACUACGUGCCAGCAGCCGCGGUAAUACGUAGGGGGCGAGCGUUGUCCGGAAUUACUGGGCGUAAAGGGCGCGUAGGCGGCUUAAUAAGUCUGAUGUGAAAAUCCUGGGCUUAACCCAGGGCUUGCAUUAGAAACUGUUGAGCUUGAGGACAGGAGAGGAAAGCGGAAUUCCCAGUGUAGCGGUGAAAUGCGUAGAUAUUGGGAAGAACACCAGUGGCGAAGGCGGCUUUCUGGACUGCACCUGACGCUGAGGCGCGAAAGCCAGGGGAGCGAACGGG